rnacentral:rRNA from 1 species
GACGAACGCUGGCGGCGUGCCCAAUACAUGCAAGUAGAACGCUGAAGGAGGAGAUUGCUUCUCCGGAUGAGUUGCGAACGGGUGAGUAACGCUUAGGUAACCUGCCUGGUAGCGGGGGAUAACUAUUUGAAACGAUAGCUAAUACCGCAUAAGAGUAGAUGUCGCAUGACAUUUGCUUAAAAGAUACAACUGCACCUCUACUAGAUGGACCUGCGUUGUAUUAGCUAGUUGGUGGGGUAACGGCUCACCAAGGCAACGAUACAUAGCCGACCUGAGAGGGUGAUAGACCACACUGGGACUGAGACACGGCCCAGAAUCCUGCGGGAGAGAGCAGGAGGAGAACUUCAAGAAAGGCAGGAAGUCUGAACGAGCAACGCCGCGAGAGAGAAGAAGGUUUACGGAUCGUGAAGGUAAGUUAUGAGAGAAGAACGAGUGGGAGGGUGAAAAGUUAACACAGUGACGGUAGCUGGCCAGAAAGGGACGGCUAACUACGUG